ncrna:Schistosoma mansoni type-P1 twister ribozyme
UGCUUAACUCCGUCUGUAGCUCCUCUGGGGGUUACUGCCGGUCCCAAGCCCGGGUAAAGGAGGAGGGUUGGGCA